GCCAAUCAGCGGAAGCCGCCGGGGCCGCCUAGAGAAGAGGCUGUGCUUCGGCGCUCCGGCUCCUCAGAGAGCCUCGGCUAGCUGGGAUUCUAUCCCUGACCGUCUUCACAGUUCAGGUGAUCUUGACUACUGCUUUACAGAGAAUUGGAUCUGAGAUGUGGAAACAGGAAGAGAACUAGAACUGGAAGUAAGGCAUUGAAGAUGUGACUGAAUUGCUGCAAUCUCAUGAUCAAAUUUGAAUGGAUGAGGAGUUGCUUUUUAGGGAUGAGCAAAGAAAGUGGCUUCUCGAGAUGGAAUCUACUGGUGAAGUUGCUGUGAACAUUGUUAAAAUGCCAAUAAAGGAUUUAGGAAUUACAGAAACCUGGUUGAUAAAGCAGUGCCAGGGUGUGAGAGAGUUGACUUCAAUUUUGAAAUAAGUUCCACUGGCUGGGUGUGGUGGCUCACACCUGCAAUCCCAGCACUUUAGGAGGCCGAGACUGGUAGAUCACUUGAGGUCAGGAGUUCAAGACCAGCCUUGCCAACAUGGUGAAACCCCACCUCUACCAAAUUAGCCAGGUGUGGUGCACACCUGUAGUCCCAGCUACUUGGGAAGCUGAGGCAGGAGAAUCUCUUGAACCAGCGAGGAGGAGGUUGCAGUAAGCCGAGAUGGCGCCCCUGCACUCCAGCCUGG
rnacentral:antisense_RNA from 1 species